UAACACAUGCAAGUCAACUUGAAUUUGGGUUUUAACUUAAGUUUGGGUGGCGGACGGGUGAGUAACGCGUAAAGAACUUGCCUCACAGCUAGGGACAACAUUUGGAAACGAAUGCUAAUACCUAAUAUUAUGAUAAUAGGGCAUCCUAUAAUUAUGAAAGCUAUAAGCGCUGUGAGAGAGCUUUGCGUCCCAUUAGCUAGUUGGAGAGGUAACUGCUCACCAAGGCGAUGAUGGUUAGCCGGCCUGAGAGGGUGAUCGGCCACAAGGGGACUGAGACACGGCCCUUACUCCUACGGGAGGCAGCAGUGGGGAAUAUUGGACAAUGGACCAAGAGUCUGAUCCAGCAAUUCUGUGUGCACGAUGAAGUUUUUCGGAAUGUAAAGUGCUUUCAGUUGGGAAGAAAGAAAUGACGGUACCAACAGAAGAAGUGACGGCUAAAUACGUACCAGCAGCCGCGGUAAUACGUAUGUCACGAGCGUUAUCCGGAUUUAUUGGGCGUAAAGCGCGUCUAGGUGGUUAUGUAAGUCUGAUGUGAAAAUGCAGGGCUCAACUCUGUAUUGCGUUGGAAACUGUAUAACUAGAGUACUGGAGAGGUAAGCGGAACUACAAGUGUAGAGGUGAAAUUCGUAGAUAUUUGUAGGAAUGCCGAUGGGGAAGCCAGCUUACUGGACAGAUACUGACGCUGAAGCGCGAAAGCGUGGGUAGCAAACAGGAUUAGAUACCCUGGUAGUCCACGCCGUAAACGAUGAUUACUAGGUGUUGGGGGUCGAACCUCAGCGCCCAAGCAAACGCGAUAAGUAAUCCGCCUGGGAGUAC
rnacentral:rRNA from 1 species